rnacentral:rRNA from 1 species
CUCCUACGGGGGGCAGCAGUGAGGAAUAUUGGUCAAUGGGCGGGAGCCUGAACCAGCCAAGUCGCGUGAGGGAAGACGGUCCUAUGGAUUGUAAACCUCUUUUGUCAGGGAGCAAGGUGCAGGUCGGGACCUGCUGUGAGAGUACCUGAAGAAAAAGCAUCGGCUAACUCCGUGCCAGCAGCCGCGGUAAUACGGAGGAUGCGAGCGUUAUCCGGAUUUAUUGGGUUUAAAGGGUGCGCAGGCGGCGAGUUAAGUCAGCGGUAAAAUUUCGGGGCUCAACCCCGACGAGCCGUUGAAACUGGCUC